ACUCCUACGGGAGGCAGCAGUGGGGAAUUUUCCGCAAUGGGCGAAAGCCUGACGGAGCAAUACCGCGUGAGGGAGGAAGGCUCUUGGGUCGUAAACCUCUUUUCUCAGGGAAGAAGACAAUGACGGUACCUGAGGAAUCAGCAUCGGCUAACUCCGUGCCAGCAGCCGCGGUAAUACGGAGGAUGCAAGCGUUAUCCGGAAUCAUUGGGCGUAAAGCGUCCGCAGGUGGCUUUUCAAGUCUGCUGUCAAAGCCCGGGGCUCAACCCUGGAGAGGCAGUGGAAACUGAGGAGCUAGAGUGUGGUAGGGGCAGAGGGAAUUCCCGGUGUAGCGGUGAAAUGCGUAGAUAUCGGGAAGAACACCAGUGGCGAAAGCGCUCUGCUGGACCACAACUGACACUCAUGGACGAAAGCUAGGGGAGCGAAUGGGAUUAGAAACCCUGGUAGUCCC
rnacentral:rRNA from 1 species